rnacentral:rRNA from 1 species
GCGUGAGUGAUGAAGGUUUUCGGAUCGUAAAGCUCUGUUGCCAGGGAAGAACGCUUGGGAGAGUAACUGCUCUCAAGGUGACGGUACCUGAGAAGAAAGCCCCGGCUAACUACGUGCCAGCAGCCGCGGUAAUACGUAGGGGGCAAGCGUUGUCCGGAAUUAUUGGGCGUAAAGCGCGCGCAGGCGGUCAUUUAAGUCUGGUGUUUAAUCCCGGGGCUCAACCCCGGAUCGCACUGGAAACUGGGUGACUUGAGUGCAGAAGAGGAGAGUGGAAUUCCACGUGUAGCGGUGAAAUGCGUAGAUAUGUGGAGGAACACCAGUGGCGAAGGCGACUCUCUGGGCUGUAACUGACGCUGAGGCGCGAAAGCGUGGGGAGCAAACAGGAUUAGAUACCCUGGUAGUCCACGCCGUAAACGAUGAGUGCUAGGUGUUAGGGGUUUCGAUACCCUUGGUGCCGAAGUUAACACAUUAAGCACUCCGCCUGGGGA